rnacentral:rRNA from 1 species
AACGAACGCUGGCGGCAUGCCUAACACAUGCAAGUCGAACGAGACCUCCGGGUCUAGUGGCGCACGGGUGCGUAACGCGUGGGAACCUGCCCUUAGGUUCGGAAUAACUCCCCGAAAGGGGUGCUAAUACCGGAUAAUGUCUUCGGACCAAAGAUUUAUCGCCUUUGGAUGGGCCCGCGUUGGCUUAGCUGGUUGGGAGGGUAAAAGCCUACUAAGGCGACGAUCCAUAGCUGGUCUGAGAGGAUGAUCAGCCACACUGGGACUGAGACACGGCCCAGACUCCUACAGGAAGCAGCAGUGGGGAAUAUUGGACAAUGGGCGAAAGCCUGAUCCAGCAAUGCCGCGUGAGUGAUGAAGGCCUUAGGGUUGUAAAGCUCUUUUACCCGGGAUGAUAAUGACAGUACCGGGAGAAUAAGCUCCGGCUAACUCCGUG